CUUCUCCCCAGUGUCUCGACUGCAUUGUGAGAGUGAAUCUUUCAAGAUGGAUCUAAUCUUAGAUGUAAACAUUCAAAUUUACCCUGUAGACUUGGGUAAGUAUUGAAUACAGACAAUAAUAAGAGGCUUUUUGCUGCUUCCGCUAUUCUUCACUCUCUGAUAUUGCUGUUAUUUUCAGGUGACAAGUUCCGGUUGGUCAUAGCUAGUACCUUGUAUGAAGAUGGUACCCUGGAUGAUGGUGAAUACAACCCCACUGAUGAUAGGCCUUCCAGGGCUGACCAGUUUGAGUAUGUAAUGUAUGGAAAAGUGUACAGGAUUGAGGGAGACGAAACUUCUACUGAAGCAGCAACACGCCUCUCUGCCUACGUGUCCUAUGGGGGCCUGCUCAUGAGGCUGCAGGGGGAUGCCAAUAACCUGCAUGGAUUUGAGGUGG
rnacentral:sRNA from 1 species